CAGCCGCCGCGGGAAUACGAAGGGGGCUAGCGUUGCUCGGAAUGACUGGGCGUAAAGGGCGCGUAGGCGGUUUAUACAGUCAGAUGUGAAAUUCCUGGGCUCAACCUGGGGACUGCAUUUGAUACGUAUGGACUUGAGUGGAGAAGAGGGUCGUGGAAUUUCCAGUGUAGAGGUGAAAUUCGUAGAUAUUGGAAAGAACACCGGUGGCGAAGGCGGCGACCUGGUCUUUAACUGACGCUGAGGCGCGAAAGCGUGGGGAGCAAACAGGAUUAGAUACCCGGGUAGUCCCUGUCUCUUAUAC
rnacentral:rRNA from 1 species